rnacentral:rRNA from 1 species
GACGUAGGGCGCGAGCGUUGUCCGGAUUUAUUGGGCGUAAAGAGCUCGUAGGCGGCUUGUCGAGUCGAGUGUGAAAUCCCGCGGCUCAACUGCGGGUCUGCAGCCGAUACGGGCAGGCUAGAGUUCGGUAGGGGAGCCUGGAAUUCCUGGUGUAGCGGUGAAAUGCGCAGAUAUCAGGAGGAACACCGGUGGCGAGGGCGGGUCUCGGGGCCGAAACUGACGCUGAGGAGCGAAAGCGUGGGGAGCAAACAGG